UUAAUCGGAAUUACUGGGCGUAAAGCGAGUGUAGGUGGCUCAUUAAGUCACAUGUGAAAUCCCCGGGCUUAACCUGGGAACUGCAUGUGAUACUGGUGGUGCUAGAAUAUGUGAGAGGGAAGUAGAAUUCCAGGUGUAGCGGUGAAAUGCGUAGAGAUCUGGAGGAAUACCGAUGGCGAAGGCAGCUUCCUGGCAUAAUAUUGACACUGAGAUUCGAAAGCGUGGGUAGCAAACAGGAUUAGAUACCCUGGUAGUCCACGCCGUAAACGAUGUCUACUAGCCGUUGGGGUCCUUGAGACUUUAGUGGCGCAGUUAACGCGAUAAGUAGACCGCCUGGGGAGUACGGCCGCAAGGUUAAAACUCAAAUGAAUUGACGGGGGCCCGCACAAGCGGUGGAGCAUGUGGUUUAAUUCGAUGCAACGCGAAGAACCUUACCUGGUCUUGACAUAGUGAGAAUCCUUCAGAGAUGAGAGAGUGCCUUCGGGAAUUCACAUACAGGUGCUGCAUGGCUGUCGUCAGCUCGUGUCGUGAGAUGUUGGGUUAAGUCCCGCAACGAGCGCAACCCUUUUCCUUAUUUGCCAGCGGGUUAAGCCGGGAACUUUAAGGAUACUGCCAGUGACAAACUGGAGGAAGGCGGGGACGACGUCAAGUCAUCAUGGCCCUUACGACCAGGGCUACACACGUGCUACAAUGGUAGGUACAGAGGGUUGCUACACAGCGAUGUGAUGCUAAUCUCAAAAAGCCUAUCGUAGUCCGGAUUGGAGUCUGCAACUCGACUCCAUGAAGUCGGAAUCGCUAGUAAUC
rnacentral:rRNA from 1 species